UGGGGAAUUUUGGACAAUGGGCGAAAGCCUGAUCCAGCAAUGCCGCGUGAGUGAAGAAGGCCUUCGGGUUGUAAAGCUCUUUUGUCAGGGAAGAAACGGUGAAGGCUAAUAUCCUUUGCUAAUGACGGUACCUGAAGAAUAAGCACCGGCUAACUACGUG
rnacentral:rRNA from 1 species